GUGGCAGGAAGCUGGCUGCGGUAGCACAUGACUGCAGUCUUAGCACUCCAGAGCUAAAGUUGGGGGAUUCCAAGUUCAAGACCAGCCUGAGCUACAUUCCAAGACCCGAAGGCCUGGAGCUACUGAGGAGGAACUGGAAGUGGUUUCGUUCUCAGGAAAAAAGGAGGCUGACACAAGAGGACCACAGAGAGUUUGAGUGUUGCAGCUUCUAUGACCUGCCUGGGGGAAGAAUUCAGAUUUCUGCAGCUUGCCUUCUGGGAGGUAGAAAGGAGAAGUAAGAGGGCAGGGGAAGGGCAGAAACCACCUUAAGCUGCUGAGGCUGCUUCUGAGACCUUCACCUUGGGGUACUGUUUUCCGAACUCCAACCUUUGAUUGUAGAGUCACAAUAGCUGAGUCACCCAAGGUCUCCACAGAUAUGACUGGGAAAAGGACCAUGGAACUGAAACCAAAGACCAGGCUCUGGUGUGCAUACCUUCAAUCCCAGCACUCAGGAGGCUCAGGCAAGGAGGAUUGAAAGCCCUAGAACAGCUAGGGCUACAUAGCAAGACUCUCUACAACUGCCAUGCCACCUCAAGCAAGGAAACUAGAACCAAAGAUGUCGAAUAUAGUCUUUGUUUGAUAGUCACCCUUUGUGUAAAUAUUGUCCCAAAAAUUAAAAGUGACUUCAUAACUGUGGAGAGUUGGUAGUAAGACAACCUAAAGCUGUAGAGAAUGAAUUUAACAUUGUGGAUUGCAGCCCAGUGAAUCUGUGCAAGAGGCAAGCCAGAGAUCUUUGUUGGUCUGGCUAACCUAUAACUCGCUGAAUAGACCAGGGUGCCCUUGCCCCCCAAAUGCUGGAUUAGAGGCAUUUGCCACUGUAUCCGGCUCUAUUGAGAACAUUCUCCAGUCAAAGAACCUCAUGGAAUGGAUGGAACCACAGAUGCCGAAGACAUCACUUGGAGCUCAUCAAACCUGUAGAAUCAGAAGCUGCACCUGGGGACUAUCAAGUCACAAUCACAUCUAACAAGACUUGCCAGUGAUGCCCCUGCAAACUAAAGUAUGAAAAGUAUUUCCCAAGAGUGGUUGUAUGGCUUGAAUACCCGUGUAUUCGAAAGGCUCCAAUGUUGAAAGGACAACCUGAAAGGGGACCAAUCCUCUGUAUCAGUCCUUGACUGAUCCUCUGCCUCCACUCUGCUGUCCUCAUCAUAACAGACUGCAUUCUCUGAAACCAGGAAUCAAGACAAAGCUCUCCUUCCUCCAGUUGUUUUUAAUCAGGCAUUUUGAUCAUAGUGACUCAUUAAGAAACUAAUGCAAUGCCCGGUGAUUUUAUAAUAUGGAAAGAGAAUGUCACUCAGGUAAGCAAUAAAAAGGGAUUGAGUGAGUCACUGGCAGAAAUGAAAUGCAAUGAAGACCACAAUCUCCAGCUUUCAGGGAUUGCUCGCUGUUUGUUUUCCACACCACACAUGUUAUGACUGUGAUGGACUUGGCCUAGUCAUUUACAAACUUCCCAACUAUAUGUUGUUUUAUUUUGUUUUGUUUUUUGAGAAAGGGUUUUCUCUGUGAGUAGUCCUGACUGCACUGAAACUCACUUCAUAGACCAGGCUGGCCUCAAACUCAC
ensembl:lncRNA